GCCUUUACACCUGUAACGUGGGGCUGGGCACACACACAGGCAGAGCACACGUUUUAUGAAAGCCUUUUUCUUUUGUUGGUCAGCUCUUCUGCUGCAGCAUUUUGAGGGUACUCAGCAAAGGCAGAGAAGAAAAAGUAAUUUUAUAGAUCCAAGUAACACAUACACCAUUUGGGAAAACUCCCAGUUAUUAAGUAAUCUCCCUCCUAAUUUUAUUAAAUAAAAAGGAACAAAUGAGUUAUUUUAAUGUCUGAUGUUAGUGAAGUAAUUGCCACAAGUCUUCUUCAUAAUUUAUGAAAUACAGGGGAGUAAGUAUUUUUAUCUCAAAUGUAAAGAAACUGUGAGGAUACUCUACUUAUGUAGAGUCUUUAAGCAAAAUACUUCAGUAGGAGUAUUCCUUCUUGGCACCUCUGAAAACAGAUGUGUUGUUUUCUUUGGUAUUUUAACUUAUAAAAACAGUUUCAAUUUAACAAUUCAACUGAAGGUUAGCUCUCAUAUUAAUAAGGAGAACAAAGAGCAGGUGGUGAGACCAGAAGGCUGGUUUUAAAUAAGCAUUGGACAGAUAAAAACAUCAGCUUUUGGUUUUUGCACAAACAAUUCAAACUGAUGUAGUAAUCCAGUGGAUUGUGCUGAAAGGUCAUAGUAGAACAUACAUUAUUUUACUUCAAAGCGGUGAAAACAUCCACCUUUAAAAUAGUUACUGGCAGUGUUCAGUAUGUAAUUUUUAGCUUCUAAGUGCUGUUGGACAGCUCUGUCUCUGUCUCUUCCUCCCUCAGAACUGGGUAAUUCUACUCAGCAACUCCCUGUAGAAACUGAGAAGAGGCAUCUACCUCUGGGGAUCUUUAGGCGUUUAUUGGGGUUUGUUCCCACUCUGUGCUUUAUGCCAUUUUUACUACCACCACUUCCACUCAGGUACCAAAGAUUUUAAAUAUGUCACAGAAGCAUGCUGGACAUAGAAAUUCAGAUCACUAAACUGCUCCUGUAUAAUUCCAAAAACGGUCAGAAAGAAACCACUUCAGCAAUCUCCAGAUUUAAUGGUAGGUAUCCAAAGGCUAUGCAUUCCAAACUAAAACCUCAGAAGAUGUACCAAAACAAUGAGAGAGCGGCUAAACAACGAUCACUUUUUGCAUGCUGUGUUUAAAUAGUUCAGAAUAAAUCCUGGUAAAUAUUAAAUAUUUAUUCUUUAUGAUUAUAGUAUCAUCCUUUCCAUGGACUGUACAUCUUGGACAAAUAUGACUUUUUUGAAUGUCAGACAUUGGCAGGUUUCUGGGGGCUUGUCAACAAUGCAGGAAUAUCAGCAUUUGGCGAGACUGGGUGGCUGUCUAUGGAGAAAUAUGAAAAAAAUGCAGAUGUAAAUCUCCUUGGGAGCAUCAGGACAAUACUGGCAUUUCUUUCACUUCUAAGGAAAUACAAGGGAGAGGAAGGAUGACCCUACAGAGGUGAACUGGAGACAUCCACCUUCCAGUUCCAGGCGUAGCAAGAUCCUCUCUAUGACCUUGGGCAGGAAACUUCCAAGAUGUAUUGUUUUCAUGUCCAGCAUUAUUGCCUAUUUUUCUCUGGGAAAUGACAUUUAUUCUAUGACAAAGGCAGCUAUUGAAAAAUUUUGUGAUGCUCUAAGACUGGAAAUGAAGAAGUUUGGUGUCUGGGCCCUAGCACUACAAGCACUCAAGGGGAGGGCUCCCGAAGAUGCCCAGUGACAAACCUACCUGAGGCAGCAUAAGAUGCCUGCAGUGAUGCAUGCUGCCUCUCUGCUGGAGCUCACCCACAUCCCUUCCAGCUCCCCACAUAGAGCACCUGCAUCUCAACCCCUCUGGUGUGCAGUGCGCCAGUGGCUGCCGGCCAAGUGCAGGCACGUGCCUGCACCGGCACACAGGUGGAAGCCACUGGUAGAUGGGAUGGGUGGCAGAUUUGAGACAUUAAAGCUUUAUAUUACCACAGAUUUUUCAGAGAACGCCUGCCAGAUCCCCAAGUCUCUUACAGAACUCAGCACUGUUUUGCCUCCCUUGUGUUCUAGUCUUUAGAAUUCAGGUCAGUUAAAUGCCACAGAGUUUUUAAUGUUGCAUAUCUACAAAUAGUUUUAACGAGGCUGCUGAUAACUGAGGAGAAGCGUGCAUACUGUGAGUACUCAGCCUGCUCUGAAAUCCCCCAGAAGCCUCAGGACAACAACACACGCAAAGAAAACAGGCAGAGCAGCAAAGGAUUUCUGUGCUUUCAGUUUAAAUCUACAUGCCCAGAAAUCUAUGGAAAUUAGCUAAUGACUCAGUGAGAGCUAGGCCAGGACCUUUGGUCCCCAUCUGUACUUGGCUAACAAUACUUGUCUUCCUUUUAAUUACACCUACUUGGGGAAAACUGCAUUUCUUUUCCAAGGACCUUAUAAUUUUCUUUGACAUCCUCCUUUUCUCCCAAACUGGGGCAAAAAAAUUACCAAUUGUAAGAUUUGCCACUGAGUGAAAAAUCCAAAGUAUUCCACUUUGGAGACAUCAAAGUCAUACUGAAGCACUUUGUCUCAGUACUGUCAAAACAUUUAUUUCAUUAAGCAUUCUAUAAAAAUCAAAGAUGCACUACUGCAUUCUGUGAAGAUAUGCUGAGUAGUCAAAAUGAAUAUUAUCAUCAGAGCAAAAUGAGGAAGUCAGAAUAAAGCACCUCUGCAAUCUUAAACAUUUCAUGGGAAUGUAUUUUAUUUCAGUCAAGUUUUCAAGGUUAAAAUUUCAACAAAGCAGCAUUUUCUAGAAGAAAUCUGUUUGCAGAAAGUUUUUGAUCUGUUUUACUGACUACAGUAUUUAAUUGAAUUCAGAAUGACGGAUUGCAUCUUGAUAAGUUUUACGUCUUGCUUUUAGGUCUGUAUUAUUCAGCCAGGAAAUUAUGCACGCUCUACAAAAAUUCAGCCACCAGACAGUGCCGAAGAGAUUUGGAUUGAACUCAGAGACGAGGAAAAGGCAGAUUACAAUCGGGAG